UAGAGUUUGAUCCUGGCUCAGGAUGAACGCUAGCGGCAGGCUUAACACAUGCAAGUCGAGGGGUAACAGGAAUAGCUUGCUAUUCGCUGACGACCGGCGCACGGGUGAGUAACGCGUAUAGAAUCUACCUUUUACUAAGGGAUAGCCUUUAGAAAUGAAGAUUAAUACCUUAUAGUAUUGAGGCUCGGCAUCGAGCCUUACUUAAAGAUUUAUUGGUAAAAGAUGACUAUGCGUUCUAUUAGCUAGAUGGUAAGGUAACGGCUUACCAUGGCUACGAUAGAUAGGGGUCCUGAGAGGGAGAUCCCCCACACUGGUACUGAGACACGGACCAGACUCCUACGGGAGGCAGCAGUGAGGAAUAUUGGGCAAUGGAGGCAACUCUGACCCAGCCAUGCCGCGUGCAGGAAGACGGCCCUAUGGGUUGUAAACUGCUUUUAUACAGGAAGAAACACUCCCUCGUGAGGGAAUUUGACGGUACUGUAAGAAUAAGCACCGGCUAACUCCGUGCCAGCAGCCGCGGUAAUACGGAGGGUGCAAGCGUUAUCCGGAAUCAUUGGGUUUAAAGGGUCCGCAGGCGGUCAAUUAAGUCAGAGGUGAAAUCCCAUAGCUCAACUAUGGAACUGCCUUUGAUACUGGUUGACUUGAGUUAUACGGAAGUAAAUAGAAUGUGUAGUGUAGCGGUGAAAUGCAUAGAUAUUACACAGAAUACCGAUUGCGAAGGCAGUCUACUACGUAUAUACUGACGCUCAUGGACGAAAGCGUGGGGAGCGAACAGGAUUAGAUACCCUGGUAGUCCACGCCGUAAACGAUGGACACUAGUUGUUGGGAUUUAUCUCAGUGACUAAGCGAAAGUGAUAAGUGUCCCACCUGGGGAGUACGGUCGCAAGAUUGAAACUCAAAGGAAUUGACGGGGGCCCGCACAAGCGGUGGAUUAUGUGGAUUAAUUCGAUGCAACGCGAAAAACCUUACCUGGCCUUGACAUGUACCGAAUUUAGCAGAGAUGCUUUAGUGCUCGUAAGAGAACGGUAACACAGGUGCUGCAUGGCUGUCGUCAGCUCGUGUCGUGAGAUGUUGGGUUAAGUCCCGCAACGAGCGCAACCCUUGCCAUUAAUUGCCAUCAUUUAGUUGGGCACUUUAAUGGGACUGCCGGUGACAAACCGGAGGAAGGUGGGGAUGACGUCAAGUCCUCAUGGCCCUUAUGGCCAGGGCUUCACACGUAAUACAAUGGACGGUACAGAGGGACGCCAACCCGCGAGGGGGAGCCAAUCCCAGAAAGCCGUUCGUAGUCCGGAUUGUUGUCUGCAACUCGACAACAUGAAGUCGGAAUCGCUAGUAAUCGCGGAUCAGAAUGUCGCGGUGAAUACGUUCCCGGGCCUUGUACACACCGCCCGUCACACCAUGGGAGUGGGUUUUACCAGAAGUAGUUAGUCUGACCGCAAGGGGGACGAUUACCACGGUAGGAUUCAUGACUGGGGUGAAGUCGUAACAAGGUAACCA
rnacentral:rRNA from 1 species